rnacentral:rRNA from 1 species
UACGAAGGGGGGCUAGCGUUGUUCGGAAUUACUGGGCGUAAAGCGCACGUAGGCGGAUCGAUCAGUCAGGGGUGAAAUCCCAGGGCUCAACCCUGGAACUGCCUUUGAUACUGUCGAUCUGGAGUAUGGAAGAGGUGAGUGGAAUUCCGAGUGUAGAGGUGAAAAUUCGUAGAUAUUCGGAAGAACACCAGUGGCGAAGGCGACACACUGGCCCAUUACUGACGCUGAGGCUCGAAAAGCGUGGGGAGCAAACAGGG